UACCAAUCUUCUUAUUAUUGG
rnacentral:piRNA from 1 species